GGACUACCGGGGUUUCUAAUCCUGUUUGAUCCCCACGCUUUCGCGCCUCAGCGUCAGUUGUCGUCCAGAUAGCCGCCUUCGCCACCGGUGUUCCUGCUAAUAUCUACGAAUUUCACCUCUACAUUAGCAAUUCCGCUAUCCCCUCCGACACUCUAGCAAUGCAGUUUCAAAGGCAAUUCCCAGGUUGAGCCUGGGGAUUUCACCUCUGACUUGCAUCGCCGCCUACGCGCGCUUUACGCCCAGUAAUUCCGAACAACGCUAGCACCCUUCGUAUUACCGCGGCUGCUGGCAC
rnacentral:rRNA from 1 species